rnacentral:misc_RNA from 1 species
GAUGAAGAACGUAGCGAAAUGCGAUACGUAGUGUGAAUUGCAGAAUUCAGUGAAUCAUCGAAUCUUUGAACGCACAUUGCACCUCUCGGUAUUCCGGGAGGUAUGCCUGUUCGAGCGUCAUUUUUACCCUCAAGCUCUGCUUGGUGUUGGGUGUUUGUUCCGCCUCUGUGUGUGAACUCGCCUCAAAACAAUUGGCAGCCGGCGUACUUGUUUCGGAGCGCAGCACAUUUUGCGAUCCAGAUCAACGUACAGCGGCAUCCAAGAAGCCUUAUUUAACGCUCUUGACCUCGGAUCAGGUAGGGAUACCCGCUGAACUUAAGCAUAUCAAUAAGCGGAGGA